rnacentral:lncRNA from 1 species
ACCUCGUUCUGCCCGGCUCCCCCCUCCGCCCCCUCCCCCCUUAUACCCAAACACAACGAGAUUAAAGGUCUCCACCCAAGCCCUAGCUACUGGGCUGCCGAGAUAUACUGAGGGUACAACUGCAUUCCCUUCAUUCUCUUCAUCUGUCAAAUGGGGGGAGGAAGAGGAGGAGGAGGAAGAGGAGGAGGAGGAGGAACAGGAGCAGGAGCAGGAGCAGGAGGAGCAGGAGCAACCGCCGCAGCCGCAGCCGCCUGAGCCGCCCGAGCAGCAGCAGCAGCAGCAGCAGCAGGAGGAGGGUUUCGCGAGGCUGGCUCUCUUUGGGGAAUACGUGCCCCUUGAUUUAUAUCUGUAUGUAAACCCUAUACAAAGUCUGUGCCAGUAACAGGUCUCGAAUUUGUUUUCCCCUCCCACUCUGCUGUGUCAGAAGAACGCAGACAGAAGUGGCUCUGUUUCGGGCUCCACCGCGGGAGGAGGAGUUUUCAUUCAGACUUUCGGAGGAGGUGGAGAUACCGAGAGCCUCACCAGAAAAGGUCCCCGGAGCCAGCCGGGGAUUCAGUCCUUUUCCUGCUCCUGCAUCGCCAUGGACCUGCCUUCCUCUCCCAGAGCCCCAAUUUCAACUCCCUCUUUGUAGAAAGGAGGAAGCUGGAGCCCAGGGAGGGAGAGGCCAAAGACCUGCCUGUAUUCAGGACCCGGCUCAAGGUACUGAGGCUCAGGUGUGGACCAGUGUCUGUUGAGUCCUGGUCUUCCAUGAGGCCAAAACAACCAAGUGAAAAAUUCAGCCAGAUUGGCUUCUGGGUGCACUGAAAGUCUCUCCUGCUAUCUCCCUUCCCCCUCUCUGUUCCCUCCCCCAGCCCCCACCCAAGUAGUUUCACUGAUUAACCCUUGGGCAAACAUUUCAGGCCAAAUGAUUUGUGUGUAUAUAUUGGUGGGGCCACCUGAGCCACUGGCUAAAUAAAUUGGCCCCACUGAGCCCUGAGGGGCUGAGA